GUUUUCAUAGUUUAAAAAACAUUAUAUUUUCAUUAUAAAAUUGGCUUCAAAACCUGUAAAUA
rnacentral:tRNA from 1 species